rnacentral:tRNA from 1 species
AAAAAGUUAGUUUAAAUCCAAAACUGUAUCUUGUCAAGAUAUAAAUAUGUAAUUCAUACUUUUUU